rnacentral:lncRNA from 1 species
CACAGGCAGAAUGUUCUUAUUUAGCAUCACUGCAGCUGGUGAGGAUUGGUUUAGUACAGUCAACGUGAACUGAAGACUGUGCCAGGCAUAGAGGAGACAAAUCCAUCAAACAGCCCUUGCCUUUGAGGAAUAGAGAGAGCCAGGAGGAUGGGCGGGCCUUUGGAGGACAGUCCCAGACAGAGGCUUCAGUAUUAUCUGAUAAGAGGUAAGGAGGUACUGGUUUGCCCAGGGACUAGGUGGACUCUCCUGCACCUGGAGGUUCCAGAAAGCCACCUUGGAGAAGAUGAAGUGUGAGCCGAAUCUUUGAGCAGCAAGGGGAACCAAGUGAAGAGACCAGGCCCUGAGCCAGGACAAGUGUGAGGUGGGGCGUGGCCAAAAGAGGAGGGAGGAUGAGUGAAUAGGCCUUGGACCUUAGUGGCUGCCUGAGAUGGGGUGCAGGAAGGAUGGGGAGAAGACUUGGAGAAAAGGAGCUGAUGACUUCCGUUGGGGCUUGUGGGGUAUUGGAGUGGUUGGCGUGAUAUCCCUUGGGCCGCAGCUCAGAGCUGGAGACACACAGAUGGAGCAUGUACAUGGUAGUCAGAACUACGAGAGUGGUUGACAAUGUCCAGGAGAAAGGAGCAUUGUCUUAAGGAUUGUUUUAGGGAGUGAGUAGGGAAAGGGGGGUCCAAAAAGGAAUAUUAAGAUAAGAGGAGACCCACGUGGUAGUAGUGUCCCUGGAGCCAAGGCAGAGGGAGUUUCAAGAAUGAAGAUAGGGGAGUUCCCAUUGUGGUGCAGCGGAAACAAAUCCGACUAGGAACUAUGAGGUUGCGGGCUCGAUCCCUGGCCUUGCUCAGUGGAUUAAGGAUCCGGUGUUGCUGCAGGCUGUGGUGUAGGUCGCAGAUGCGGCUCAGAUCUGGCAUUGCUGUGGCUGUGUCAUAGACCCGCAGCUACAGCUCUGAUUCUACUCCUAGCCGGGGAGCCUCUAUGUGCUGCGGUGCGGCCCUAAAAAGCAAAAAAAAGAUUGAAGAGGGGUAGAUGCCAGAUGGCGGUGAAGAGUGAAUAGAAGGGAAAGACAAGGAGAGGGCAUUGUGACUCUACUUCAGCCUGGGAGGGGAGGAGGCAGAAAAUGUAUUAUAUCUAUGUAUACAUCUAGAUAAGUAUAGAUUAUAAAAUACUCAUUCUACCUGACCCACUUUUAUUUUCUUUUCCUGUUCAUCUUUACUCAAACCCACCCCUUUUUUUUCCUCACCUGUCCUUUGAUCUAAAAAAGGAUAACCACAACUAAUUUACACACCUCUUAAUGAUUUACAGAAUGCUUUCACAUGUGUCAUUGUGUAUAAUAUGCUCACCCACCCACUGAGUUGGUAUUUUAGCUGGAUGACGGUUGUCUAGGGUUGAGAUUCAGACAUGUAGGGUCCUAGAUGCCUUGGAAUUCAACCCCUCUUUGGAUAUUGGGGAAAUUGAGGCUCAGGAGACUUAGUGUCUUAUGUCAUUUUCAUUGCUAUAUGGUACUUCCUGGCACCAGAAAUCAACCUUCUGAUUUUCACUGCAUGACUCUAUUACAGUGUGGGGAUAUUGGUGAGGUUCAGGCAACCCUGUUGGAACUCAGUACAGGAGGUGCUUUGGGCCAUAGCCAAAUAAGAUCCUAUUCCUUUAAACCUUCCUGACUCCUCCAGGAGCUAAUUGCUGGUGAGCAAUAAAAAUCAGACCACAAACCCUCCAGCCCCUAAGACUCCCUCACUUUGUUCCCACUCUUGUCCCUAUUGGUAGACAUUCACUCCUUUUGCUAGAACAGCAUCUAUUUGUACUUAAUUCAUCAACGACCCCUCCUUAUGGUGCACUGAGAAUGACUCCUGGCUAAUUAGCAUAUUCUGUUACUUUGCCCUCAAUGACUGGUUCAGGGGUGGGUUUGUGAUCCAAGCCAGGCAGAUCAGAGUCAAUCUUGGAAGAAGAAUCCCUCUGCUGGGGCUGCUAGGGACCACGUGGCCCUUGCCUGAAAAGAGCUUGGGAGAGUGAAGCCACCAUGGAGGCAGCACAGUGAUGGGUGGGAUGCGGGGUCCUGAGGAUACCUGCCCGGGAGGUCCAACCUGCCAGGAGCUCGAGCUCUCCCUGCGUUUUCAGGUGCAUGAGCCAAUAAAGUCCCCAGUUAUGUUUCAACCUCUUCAGUGGCAGUUGCCACCACAAGAGCCCUAACUAAUAUUUUCCUUUUUGUAUUCCUAUUUUUCCUUCCAUGUCUUGAUUUGACUCCUAUCAUGUUUGGUCCUCAAAUUCUCUAGGAUUUGCUUCAGAGCAACCCUCUUACUCUGGGCUUUUUCAGGUUUGCUGUGCCUCGCUGGUUCCUGUCCCAUCAGCCAUCCCUUCUCCGUUGCCCUUCACCAAACUCUCUGAGGGGAUGUUUUCUUAUCACUCUGCUAGGAGUCAGAGUUUAUAAGUUUACGAGCUGCCUGUGCUUUAUAUGAACUGAUGAUUGCUAUUAUUAAUAAGACAUUUCUACUAUUAGCCCAGCGUUUUUUUAUUAUGAUUAAAAUAUACAUAAGAUUUG